AUUAAACAUUAUUAUUUGCGGUAUUGAAUCUUUUUUUUUCUCAGCCGCACAAAACAACAUCUCCUAUGCUCGCCGUUAUGCUUUUCUUCUCCACACAAAACCUAGAUCCUCUGUAACCGUUUCUUCUUGAUGUUUUCUAAAAUCUCAAAAUUUUGCUAAAGCCUUGUGAUCCUUGUCUGUCUUCCUUCAAUCAUAAAAUCCCCUUUUCACUUUCCAGGUCAACCUCCGUUUUGCCUCCUUCACUACUCUUUAAACUCUAUUCCAGCCAUCUCGUUCUCUUUGCUUCCUUCACUGUGAUAUGCUCCUUCCCGCUGACUACCCACAGUGGUUCAUCAAAAAGUUGUUGUAUCUUCUGAUUUUGAGGUGGAGGAAUAACGUCAUGCUCGUUGAGGAAGUGUUGAGAGAUGUGAGCAAACUCUGAAGAUGAUGCUAGAGGGAUGAAUCCUUUUUUUUAUAUAUAGGUGAGGAUGACCGCCCGAAUGAAUGCUGGGAGGUGAAGAACAGAGACCGACAUGAACAGAGACGGCUUGAAGAUUACUGUCAAAGACGGGCCUAGCUUUUGGUUGGAUAACGGCCCAAAGAGCAUUAUCCAUUCCUUACAAAUUAGAAUGUCUCUGGAAGUCCAUUUUUUAAAAACACAGUAAAAUAGAUGCAAUAAAGAACACGCGAAAACAGUGAGUUUGGUAAGCUGGGACAGGUGUCACGCUUAUAAAGCUCGAAUUUUUGAGCUGGGUGCUGAAGUGGCGAGAGAUAACUCUACUUUAUAUAAUAAGAUAUAACUCUAUUGUAAUACUCAUUUAUAUACAUAUAUACAUAUUGUUUUACCAGGUAAAAAUUUAAUAUUUGUUAUUAAUGAUAUAGAAAAUUCUAUAAAGAUAUAGUUUGUUCAUUUGAAAUUAUAUAUGCAUACAUAUAUAUAUGUAUAUCUUUUUGAUAA